UUUCUGGAAGUCGUACGAGACAGUUACUUUGGGAAACGAGGCAUCAGCAAUCUUCAUUUGCAGGUGGUCAUAUCAUUAGUGCUAGAAUUGAUGUCCAGGAGUGCUAUGGAAUGGCAGGAGUGUGUGUGCACCUACCUCUUGUUCCCUCUCCUGGAGCUUCUCCUCAAUCUUGAAGAUCAAAUCCACCAAGAGAAUUGCAACAGACCUCCUCCAGAAGCUGUUACAGGGAGCUCAGGAACAAGACGUUCCCUCACGGAAUGAACUAGUAAAGAGCAUUCGACAGCUGGUUUUCCAACAUGUUUCCUGGUCAUCUAGUAGGCUCUUCCGCGUGUUGGGUGUAGUGGGAGUUCUACACAGACCGCUCUUAGUGGAUUCACUGCCUCACAUUGCAAGAGCAGUCACAGCCACAGAAGAGAAACGAGGAACUGGACUAGAUCACACACUUAGACAAGGCUAUCAGUCUUUACUCAGCAGCUUGGGAGUGAAUGAAGGAGAUAUACACAGCAGUUCAUAAUAUUGAAUGUUCUUAUGUUGCAAUAAUGAUUUUUUAAAAAUUUCUUGUAAGAGUACAAAUUUAAUUCCU